CACGUAGGGUGCGAGCGUUGUCCGGAAUUAUUGGGCGUAAAGAGCUCGUAGGCGGCUUGUCGCGUCGUCCGUGAAAACCUGCAGCUCAACUGCAGGCUUGCGGGCGAUACGGGCAGGCUAGAGUUCGGUAGGGGAGACUGGAAUUCCUGGUGUGAGCGGUGAAAUGCGCAGAUAUCAGGAGGAACACCGGUGGCGAAGGCGGGUCUCGUGGGCCGAUACUGACGCUGAUGCGCGAAAGCCAGGGGAGCGAACGGG
rnacentral:rRNA from 1 species